rnacentral:sRNA from 1 species
UUAAAUAUAUGUAACAUGCUUUAAUUUAAUCAACUGUGUUAUGUUUGGUCUGGAGUUGGGUUUUAAUCUACUCCCUCUGUCCCAUAAAGAUAAAUUUUCUAGGAAAAAUAUUUGUCCCACAAAGAUAGAAGUUUUAUAUUUCCAAUGCAAAUUUUAAAACUGUUUUCCCGUUUUACCCUUACUAAAUAAUUAGAUAAAUAUUUAUUAUUAUUUUUAAAGUAUAUUAAGAGGUUAAAAUUAUCUUUAUACAAUAUUUCUUAAAGAAUGUGAAAUUUCUAAAAAAUUCAUCUUAGUGGGACGGAGGGAGUAGUUGUUUUAUAGGAUAAUGUAAU